rnacentral:rRNA from 1 species
UACGGGGGGAGCAAGCGUUGUUCGGAUUUACUGGGCGUAAAGGGCGCGUAGGCGGCCACCGCAAGUCGACUGUGAAAUCUCCGGGCUUAACUCGGAAAGGUCAGCCGAUACUGCGGGGCUAGAGUGCAGAAGGGGCAACUGGAAUUCCCGGUGUAGUGGUGAAAUGCGUAGAUAUCGGGAGGAACACCAGUGGCGAAGGCGACUUCCUGGCCUGUUCUUGACGCUGAGGCGCGAAAGCUAGGGGAGCAAACGGG